AAUAAUAUAUAAUUAUAUGAUAAAUAUUAAUAUACUUUUUGAAAAGCUCUGAAUUUUUGCAAUCAUGAAAUCUAACUUUUAAUCUUCUACUCGUGUGAGCCAGAAGUCAUUAUUUUUAGUACACCACAGUGAUUAAUCCCUCCCUCCACAUAUUAGGUCUGUGACAUCAGGGAGGUUAUAGUCUCUUUGUGUCUUAUUUUUCUCAUUUUAAAAAUGGAAGUAAUAAAAGGAUUUUCCUCACAAUAUUAUUACUACUGAUGGGUGGAGGUUGUCGACAAAAGGAGCCAAGAAUGAUUUUCAGAUUUCUGGAAAUAUGGACUCCAGGAUAAGAACGAUAUAAGGGAAAGGUCAGAAUUAGGAUGUGCUCAUUUGAGCUGCCUGUCAACUUUAUUAGGCAUGAAGGAUGUUCAGAGUAGAUUUGAAAAUAAAGCUAAAACUUUAUGGGCUUGGAGUCCAUUCUCUUUAGAAAUACUGUAUUACAUGGUUUAGGUAAUACUGAACUAUUAAAGGUAGAUUUUUAACUAGUCCAAGCUUUUACAUUGACAGGUGAAGAAAUAAUAUAUUAGGUUUUACAAUUGGUGAUAAAGUAGCUGUUACGUUGGUGGUCCCAGAUGAAUCAAAUGUUCUGGUAGGCCUACAACUGUAUGGUUCCUUCCUCUUGGGUCUCUGAUUCACUGCAUUGAAUAGCAAUUGGCAGAAGUGACCCUAUGCUACUUGCAGGCCUAAACCUUAAGAUGACUCAGCAACUUCUGCUUUAUGCACAUGCAACUCCCUUAAGAAAUCUGGCUCUGGUGCAGGAGAGACAAAGUGAAGAGGCCACGUGGUGAGGAAGAUGCCUUGAGACAAGGAAAGAGGGAAAGACCAGCUGUUCUCUGUUCCAACCCCUGGUGACCAGUGCAGUGAGUAUAUGGGUGUUCGCCCUCAAGACUGGGCACAGUUGAGUGUCCUCAGUCCAAAGAAUUAUAAAAGAGAUAAUUUUAAAAAGAGAGAGGGAAGAUUUUUUUAAGUCACUAGGUGUUAAGGUUAUUUGUUACAUAUAAAUGGGUAAUCAAAACAGUGGUAGAGCCAAGACAAGAAUCUAAGUCUUCUGAGUGUUAGAGUAAUGUUCUUCUAGGGCAAGGGGUUCAUACUGUUAGAUUGUGCUCUUGCCUUUUAGAAGAUUAUAGAAUGCAGUUAAUAAUCUAUUUUUUCAGUUUUAUUGUAUAAUUUGCAUAAGAAUGAACAUAUUGACUAAAACAUACUGUAUCUGUGAUUUUAACAAUAGAUCUCUUUUUAUUUAGCCAUGAGAUUGAGCUACCCAGUCAUCCAUCCAUCCAUCCAUCCAUCCACUAAUCUAUUAUCUAUCACUUUAGAGCUUGCUACCAAAGAACUAGACUACAAUUCUAUACCAAACGUCUGUUUCACUCUGUGAUUUUCUAGGCCACUGAGGAAGUUCAGGGAAGAUGGAAUGAAAAAUCAAAGUUUUACACUUGUUAUGAUCUUAAUUUUAAGCCUUUGUAAUUCUCAUAAGGGGACUUUUCAAUGUAAUUGCUACUUUGUUGAAUGUCUCAAACUUUUCUUGAGUUUGAUAAACUUCAAGACAAUAGUCACACUCUUCUGUAAAUAAAGUAAGUGGAGUUCGGACUGUGACAACAUGUCAUCUCUCAAGCAAGUUAUAUUUCUCUGACACAUGUCUUCGAGGUAAAUCAUUUUUAUUUUUCUUUCUUGGGUGUGAAAUCCUAUAUGUUUGUGGGUUUAAUUUUAGGCAUCAUUGUAGAACAACAGGAAUCUUACUCAUUUCUACAUUAGAAUUAUAUUUGUUUGGGAAGUGCUCAGAAGUCUGUCUCAUGGCAUCUGACAGCUUGACAAGGCUUGUUGCCAUGGAAAACGUUUGUGAUGUUAUAUAAAUAUAUUCCUAGGUCAUGAGUUACCAUGUAUUUUUUGGACAUUGAUGCUAAGAGGGAAAUGACUAAACAUAUUUUUUAGAAAAGAAGAAUAACAUAGUAAACAAACAAUAAUAACAAAUAAUAAAUAUGUGUAUUGAGUAAACUGGUGCUCUAUUUUCUUAAGCAUUAGACUUAUGUGCUAACAAGCCUUUUAGCUAUAAAAGUUCAUUUAUUGCAAAGGCUUCCCCUCCCUUAAAAUAUUAUUACUAGCCAUUUUGCAAUAUUAAUGGUUCCACUAUUAAUAGACUGAGAGACAAGGGAGCUGUUAUUCUUGCUCUCUAUCUGUUAUUCCAUUAAGUAAGACUGCCAGCAGCUCUAUAAUGGACCAUGUGCUCGAGCCACAGGGUAUAUCCUAAGCAAAAGUUGUCCUCACAUGUUUUUUUUGGUGCACAUUAUGACUAGACAGGAAAAAGGUAUAAUAACAAGAUGCAAAGGGGGGCACUCGAUUCUGGUUAGGAUCUAAAAUAGUCAUUUUCAUUGGAUAUGAGGGGAGGUGAAGAAGUGUUAGGGAAAUGAUGUGGAAAGUCAUGGGUGACUGUGUAUUUUGUCCCCUUCUUAUGACUGAUGCCCUUUGUGAGUGUUCCAAUAGUACCUACAAUGAGAAAUACACAAGCUUGUUAUCCAUCCUUGUUUUUCUCUAACACACUAUCAUUUAUUCAACCUAUAAUGUGACCUGCCACCUUCUUAUGCUCAGGCAAACACUCCUGACUUCAGGAGUCGGUGGGAGCUGCUGGUUGAGAUGCGGUCAUUGCCAUGACCGCAUUGAAGACCUCUGCUGUUGUCCUUCCUUGAGUCAGUAAUGGAUAUUACAAACACCACCUUCUAAUGCCAGCACAGGGAGAGUGCAUAACUGUGAUUUGUAAGAAUGUCAUCUUUCUCCAAGUGAAUGCAAAGAGGCUUUCUACCACAGUCUGCAUUCACUGAUGGGCUGUGAUCCAUUGUGAGACACAAACAUAAAUCAAGAGGAGGUCAUAAAGUAGGUCCUUAUGUGGACAAGCAAAUUUAAGGAAAAUAAGGGAUCAUGAAGAUGAGGAAAUACAGCUUUCAUAAGCCUGGGUCCUUCCUUGAGUGAAUUCCACCGUCAUUAGGUUUUGAUAAUUAUUUGUUACCAUAGCAUAGCUUAACCUGACCUGACUGAAACAGCAUUUUAAUAAGGAAAUAAAGACGAAGAGGAAUUAAGUGAUUCAUUCAAAUUGGCAUGGCAAAGUUGCAAACCAAAUUUUCUGGUUCUUCUGUCCUAGGUUAACAAGCUCAAUUCAGGAUAAUAUGUCCUCUAGGAACUUCAAAAUUAAACAACAUCCAGGAUAAUAUAUCCCUCAAGAACCUCAAAAUUAAACAACAUCCGAUUUAGUGCACAUGUAAUGUAUUCAUUCACAUACAAAAUAAUUGGUUAUCAUGAUUGAAUUGAAAACUUAGAGUCCAUAAUUAUCGUCAAGUUGGAUGUUAAAAUAAGCAAAGAGUAAAUCCACUAACACAAGCCAUUUCGUGGAUAAGCAAAAUUGUAAUGUUGCAGCUUUCUAAAUAUCUGGAAUGGUGUAGUCUCUGAGUUAAAGCUAGCUUUUUCAUCAGACAAGGAAUACUUGACUACAAAGGAGUACUUCUACCUACAUUCUUAUGGGAGAUUGAGAAGGGAAAUAUCAGCCAAGAAGACAGUUCCUGGAACAUCCGUCGCUAGAUGAGGCGUCUAACGUAAUUGUAAGAAGCUUAGACACUUCACUUGCCGUUUAAGUUAAUACCCAUGGAUCCCUGACAUCUGGACAUGCUAAUCCAUGCUUGAGUGAAAAUGUACUUUACACACAGCCUUUUAGUUGCAAUAUAUUUUUGUAAGAUUUCAUGACUGUGUAGCCCAGUUUCUUCUUUUGUGCUAAAGAGACUUCUAAAAAAAAUGAAUUUAAUAUUUUGGCUACUUCAAAGCCACAUCCAUUUCACACUCAGUCUUCAUUUUGUGUUCAUUCUUACUGGUGAUAUUUUAAUAUUCCCUGUUUAACUACCUUUUAUGUAAUUUAAUUUUUGUAUUUUUGGCAGCCUGUGUCUUAUUUCUCUUAAGCUUUAAUCAAUGCCAACUACUUUAUUUCUUUACCUGAUGUUUUGCUCAUUUCCUCCACAGACUAAUCUUUCAGGAUUUAUGGGAUAUAUGUAAUUUCUUAUUCAAAAUAGUCUUAGGAGCAAUAUACUUAAACUCCACAGGAAACAAGAAACACUUUUGUAAUACUUGUUAUACCUUUAAGUAACAAGGUGGUUACAACUCACUUAGAUCUUUAAUUCUUCAGUUUCCCCACCAACUAAAUAUAAAUAAUGACUAUCUUCCUCAUUUAAAUUCAAGGAUUAUUUUGGAAAAAAAUGAAAUUAUGUGUCUAAAUUUCCUGUAGUCUUGUAAAAAGAGCCAUACUGCAUAUAUUUAGGCUAUAAUAAUCACACCCAUAUAUAUUUGGGACAUGGCAUUUAAAACAAUUAUGCUAUAUAGCAUUUGGAAUGAGCUAUCAUGUUCAAUGUUUAACAGAGUUUUCAAGUGUUAAAGUAAAUUACAAGUUUAUUUCACAAAGAACUCAUCAGUCAUGUAUGGGUUUAAAGAUUAUGUCUGAAAAAGGAUAUUCUGGUUUUAAAAAAUCAAAGUA